UGGCAAGUAAAUACAUUGGAAAGGUUCUGGGUGACUGUGAGAAAUACAGAAAAUGAUAGUCACUUCUGCUCAUAUAAGGAGAAAGAUGCUGAUUAGAAUUUAGACCUGACAGAUCUGAAGCACCCAAAGGUAACACAAACCCAUCUCAUAAGUGGUUCAAAUGUCAAUUUGAAAUUUUGGAGAGAAAGUGGAGAUAGGGAUGCCGCUUUAGGAAAAUAAUCCAGCACUAAUAAGAGGACACCACCGAAUAAAAAGUCACAUGCAAAAAGGAGAUCAUCAAUAUAGCCAAGAUCAAGAAAAAUAUGCAGAAGAAAAAAAGAAGAAAAAGACAGGAUUAAAAAGACCAUAUUGAGUUGCAGGAGAAACAGAGACAGGAGUCAGGGAGGUGGUAAAAUAUAGUGAAGUCGGGGAGAGGAAAGGGUCACAAUAAAAACCGAGAAGCAAAUAAAAAGCAGUAGGAAACUGGGACAAACACGCUCGUUGUUCUUUAGAUCUUUGAAGACAUGGGAUUUUAUAGGCACAGCAGAAAGCCAAUUCUGCUCUUCAUUUCUGUGAACAAAGAUUUUCACAAAUCAAGCAGUCACUCCUGUGAGAGUGCAAAGGGCAGGACCUGACUCUCUACUGCGGCAAAGGAAGUGAUGCUCAAGAAGCCAGAUUCAGACUGUGAUUCCAUCAUUUCUUCAGUAAAUAUCAUGGGUUUGAUGCAAGUCUGCAUUAGGCAUCAGCACUACUUGCCAGUUUAAGGAGCCAUCUUAAUCCUAACAAGCUGAGAAUACAAAAUGAACCAAAGAGAAAAUGUCAGAACACUGAGAGCAAUCAGUGUAAAUUAACUCCGUGCAAACUGUGUGCAUUGGUGCUGAGAGAACAGACAAAGCAGUGGAUUCCCCUUUGGAAGGCUCUUUUCUCUAAAGCUUUCAAAUUCCACAAUGAAGUUUCAGAGGAAACACAGAAUAUCCUAAUUCGGGGUGUACCAUACCAGGUGUAUAAAGAUGUAAAUAAAUGCAAUACUUGACAUGAAAGAAUGAGUCUGGUAUUGCUAUUGAUGCUGGAGGGCACCGUGACCUCUGCACUCAAAAUCUGGAGGUGGGGACGGGUGGAAAUGAGCAGUGCCUAGAAGUGCAGUUCUAGAAAUAAAUCAGUAACUAACAGGGAGGAUUGCUUCUUG
rnacentral:lncRNA from 1 species